rnacentral:rRNA from 1 species
CCUUACCUGGUCUUGACAUCCACAGAACUUGGCAGAGAUGCCUUGGUGCCUUCGGGAACUGUGAGACAGGUGCUGCAUGGCUGUCGUCAGCUCGUGUUGUGAAAUGUUGGGUUAAGUCCCGCAACGAGCGCAACCCUUAUCCUUUGUUGCCAGCGGUCCGGCCGGGAACUCAAAGGAGACUGCCAGUGAUAAACUGGAGGAAGGUGGGGAUGACGUCAAGUCAUCAUGGCCCUUACGACCAGGGCUACACACGUGCUACAAUGGCAUAUACAAAGAGAAGCGACCUCGCGAGAGCAAGCGGACCUCAUAAAGUAUGUCGUAGUCCGGAUUGGAGUCUGCAACUCGACUCCAUGAAGUCGGAAUCGCUAGUAAUCGUGGAUCAGAAUGCCACGGUGAAUACGUUCCCGGGCCUUGUACACACCGCCCGUCACACCAUGGGAGUGGGUUGCAAAAGAAGUAGGUA